rnacentral:rRNA from 1 species
UACGUAGGGGGCGAGCGUUGUCCGAAGUUACUGGGCGUAAAGCGCGCGUAGGCGGGCUGGUAAGUGAGAGGUGAAAGGCUGGGGCUCAACUCCAGCAGUGCCUCUCAUACUGUCGGUCUUGAGGGGGGCAGGGAGAAGUGGAAUGGCUGGUGUAGCGGUGAAAUGCGUAGAUAUCAGUCGGAACACCGGUGGCGAAGGCGGCUUCUUGGGCCCUACCUGACGCUGAGGCGCGAAAGCUGGGGGAGCGAACGGG